CUGCUUCCAUCAGGACUACUCCAUGGCUUGAGUAUCUUCAUUUAUUAUUGAGUAGAUUAUUUGAUUUACUAAGCAUUUAUAAUUGUGUUGACGUUACUUCAUUCUUUUUAACUGUAAAACAAUAUUCUUUUUAAUGUUUAUAUUAUUCCCUUCUUUUUAACGCUGAUUUUAAAUAUGUAUUAGGGGAUGUCUACUGAAAACAUGCAUUCAUUGCCUCUGGGCAGAUGUACAGCCUGAAACACAAAUAAUGAUUUUACAGAAGCAAACGGAAUUGCUGAGCAGGUGCUCCUCAGGAAAAAAGAGACCAGACAGGAUCCAAGCUUGCCAGAAAAAGGGGAGAAAUGUAGAAUCAUUAGCAUCUUUGAUUUGUUGAGAUUUAACAGUGAUAUAACCUUAGACUCCAAGUCAGGAUGAGAAAGCAGGGGAAGUGGGUAAGACGGCAGCAGGGAAAGAAUGGCAUCCCUGUAGCUCUCUUCACUGAGAGUGUGGAUUCUUCUUUAGAAUAGGCUCUUCAGAAGAAAAAUAAAGAAAAUCCAAGUAAUAAUGAAAACCCAAGAAAACUUUGAGAAAUCAGCUCUUCAAGGAAAUGGCUCAGGAUGUAAUGUUAAAUAAGCUAUGGAAACCAUCAGUGUGUUUGUGGAGACUAUGUCUACAAUAGGGCACAUAUGGAAUUAUCUGCUUAUCAGAUUUUUCUAUUAGUUAGGUAUGCAAUAUGCUCCAUCAACAUUGGGCAACACUGAUCUGCACUUUGUUAAACUUCCCUUCCUUCCCUUUAUUCACUUCACUGUGGUCUCUUGGUGACUCCCUCCUUUUAGUCAUGGUACAGCCUCUGCAACACAGCAGACGUCUCUCACUUGCUGAUAAUCAUAGCAGUCACUACUUGUUCAUUGCCUGCUAUAGAUCUGAAACUACCUGCACUACAAGGGUGAGCUAGAGCAGAGAGUUUAUUUAGAAGGUGAUUCUAGGUUAGGAGGACAGAUUAAGUGAGGAGAAUGAGUUAAGGAAGGAGGAAAAGCCAAUCCAAGAGGGUGUUAAGGUUAUCAUUGCGUGUAGUGGGGGCUUCUUUCCACUGAGGCCCCUGAGAAAGUGCAGGGUGCUGCCCAGAAUUGCUCCUAACUUCCAGGACUGACUGCUUCUGCACCCCUUUGGGUGAGGGGUGCUCCUAGGGGUGAUAACACUGCUGUGGUUCAGGACUGGGCUCGCCGGAGCCCAGCAGACUCCUGCAGCCUUGGAAAAGGCCCUGAGGAGAAAAACAGAACGGUCCAGUAGUGCAGGGUGUGCACUGCAGAGCAGAUUGGCUGGGUAAAGUGGGUUUCUGUGCUGCUUUAGGGGAAAGGCAGGUAUGGUCUAGAGAAUCUAAUUCUCAUAUCAACUUUGUUAACUUUAAGCUUCCAAGUGAAGCACUGUCAAGAGAAAGAGGAUUUCAUGAAUUUGCUUUACUACUUACAGAACCAAGCACAGAGGACUCAGACAAAAGGUUUCUUUUCCACUUCUUGUAGCAGGAAAUCAACAAUGUUUUAGAUCAAAGCUGUUCCAUUUUCCUGGAUCCUAGUGGGGAGCUAACAUGGCGCAGAGCCACAGCCAAUCCAAGGACAUGUGGUACCUCCUGACAGCAGGCUUGACACCAGCUACUGUCCAGCUCCCCAGUAAACCAGAUUCCCUCAUUGCUCCUAAUGGGGUCUAGACUGCAGGAGGAGGAAGCAGGUGGGCAAUGUCCAGAUUUCCAUGAUGACCCUCUGAGGAGAUAUCCGUGGCUAGGUUACUGCACGACUACAGCAUCACAGAGGAGACUCCAGAACUCAAACUACCAAGAAUGCCUGUGAUAAAAAGUUCCCUUUGCAGCCAGACCAGCUGAGACUGGUACAUAGAACCAAGACAGCUGACCAAAGGACUUCAAAAAGACCUCAGUCUUCAUGAUAAUCUUAUUUCCAUGCUAAAUGAUACUCCCUCCAGCACCACGACAGUUGACAAUUGCCAUGACAAUGACUGGAAGAAGCCGUAAAAGGACUAAAAGGGAGGCGGUACUACUGAUUCCAGGAGGUUCACCACCCACUUCUGGAAAAGACAUGAAUAUUCUUCCCUUUUCUUUUAAUGUCACCUCCUUCAUUAGAGAAAUCCUGUAUCUUAAGCCCCUCACCCUCACUUGUUGAGAAGUUGAUUGUGAGCCAUCUCCUGCUUCUCAAUUCCACGGCCAUUGAAUAAAGCCUGCACUGCUUGACACUCACUUUUGGUUUUGUGUAUUGGCUUUGUGAUACUGAAUAAGGAAAGACUCCAUCUUUGGUAAGACCAGCUUUGUCAGUAACAACCUGAGUAGUCAUAUAGGGCCCAAGGCUUAGUUGUGUUUACUUGGUUUAAUGCUUUGCUGUCUCUGUUGUAAAACUCUUGUUAAUUUUUGAACAAGAGCCCCAAAUUUUCAUUUGCACUGGGCCCCACAAAUUAUAUAGCUGGCGCUUUGGGGAGGAGACCAAUCCCUUUCCAGGUGACUGACACUACUAACUCUUCAUACUGGGUCUGGUCUGAUUGCUUUUUCUAAACCAGUGGGGCAGAAAGGAACUCGUGUUUCUUUGGGCCCUGACCUAGGUACUCCUGAAAGUAUCGUGCCAUUUAAUUCCCGUUUUACCAAAGAAGAGCAAAGGCUUUGCUUUUCCAUGUCACUUGCCCAAGGCCACAUAACUAAUAAAUGGAGUCUGAGUCAGGAGUCUACUGCCAAAAACUGGGCCUUCCAACCCUUCUGCCAUAAGUAAACUUAAAAUCCAUCCAGGAGUUACACAUAUCAGUGCAGGAAGGGAGGGUUGAUUCUUGCCUAAGACAAUAAGAUAUGCUUUUUUGGUAUACAUCAUUUAAAAGCAAUUGAUUUUUAAAAUCCCAAAAGGGAAAA
rnacentral:lncRNA from 1 species